rnacentral:ncRNA from 1 species
CGUGAAAAGCGAAGCUGUCGUGAGGCAGUGGCGCAAAGCCAAGGGUCUUAAUUUUUUAAGAUAGCCGGUUACCGC